rnacentral:misc_RNA from 1 species
GAAAUGCGAUAAGUAAUGUGAAUUGCAGAAUUCAGUGAAUCAUCGAAUCUUUGAACGCACAUUGCGCCCGCCAGUAUUCUGGCGGGCAUUCCUGUCCGAGCGUCAUUUCAACCAUCAAGCCCCCGGGCUUGUGUUGGGGACCUGCGGCUGCCCGCAGGCCCUGAAAACCAGUGGCGGGCUCGCUGUCACACCGAGCGUAGUAGCAAUCACCUCGCUCAGGGCGUGCUGCGGGUUCCGGCCGUUAAACAGCCUUACAAAACCCAAGGUUGACCUCGGAUCAGGUAGGAAGACCCGCUGAACUUAAGC